rnacentral:RNase_P_RNA from 2 species
UUAAGUAAUCGAAAUGAUCGCCCUCCGUAGCUUUAUGCGAAGGAUGGGAGGAAAGUCCGAGCACCAGUGAGCAGCUUAGUCGCCGCAAGGCGACCGACCGUGAGGUUCGGGAAUAGUGCAACAGAAAAUAAACAGCUGACGCUCUCCAUUGAGCAAGCAAUGUUGAAAUCGUGAGGUAAGAGCUCACGCGCUGUCAUUACGAGAUGACUUUGUGUAAACCCUAAGCGGUGCAAGUCAGGUGGGUUCGACCAUCAUCAAAGGAUCUGCUCGAUCCGAUGACCACGAAUCCUGACGCAUAGAUAGAUGAUCAUUUAAACAAAACUCGGCUUAUCGAUUAGUUAAGACA